UACGUAGGGUGCAAGCGUUAUUCGGAUUUAUUGGGCGUAAAGGGUUCGUAGGCGGGAUUAUAAGUCAAGUGUGAAAUCCCCAAGCUUAACUUGGGACGUGCAUUUAAAACUGUGAUUCUUGAGUCAUUGAGAGGGUGGUGGAAUUGUUGGUGUAGGAGUGACAUCCGUAGAGAUCAACAGGAACACCAGAGGCGAAAGCGGCCACCUGGCAAUGUACUGACGCUGAGGAACGAAAGCGUGGGGAGCAAACAGG
rnacentral:rRNA from 1 species